AGACAGAGGGUGCGAACGUUGCUCGGAAUUACUGGGCGUAAAGCGCGUGUAGGCGGGCUGAUAAGUCAGAUGUGAAAGCCCUGGGCUCAACCCAGGAAUUGCAUUUGAAACUAUCGGCCUCGAGUGGUGGAGAGGGAGGCGGAAUUCCUGGUGUAGAGGUGAAAUUCGUAGAUAUCAGGAGGAACACCGGUGGCGAAGGCGGCUUCCUGGACACUUACUGACGCUGAGACGCGAAAGCGUGCGGAGCAAACAGGAUUAGAUACCCCAGUAGUCC
rnacentral:rRNA from 1 species